GAGGCUAUAGCUCAGUGGUAGAGCGCAUGCUUAGCAUGCACAAGGUCCUGGGUUCAAUCCCCAGUACCUCCA
rnacentral:tRNA from 1 species